rnacentral:rRNA from 1 species
AGAUGUCUACAUUAGAUACCCCCGUAGUCCCAGCCGUAAACUAUGCGCGUUAGGUGUAUCGGUGACCACGAGUUACCGAGGUGCCGAAGGGAAACCGUGAAACGUGCCGCCUGGGAAGUACGGUCGCAAGGCUGAAACUUAAAGGAAUUGGCGGGGGAGCACCACAACAGGUGGAGCCUGCGGUUUAAUUGGACUCAACGCCGGGAAGCUCACCGGAUAGGACAGCAGAAUGAUUGCCGGGCUGAAGACCCUGCAUGACUAGCUG